rnacentral:rRNA from 1 species
AAGUGUCAGCCGCCGCGGUAAUACGUAGGGGGCGAGCGUUGUCCGAAUUUACUGGGCGUAAAGCGCGCGUAGGCGGACCUUUAAGUGGAGGGUGAAAUCUUGGGGCUCAACCCCAAAACUGCCUUCCAAACUGGAGGACUUGAGGUAUGGAGAGGGAAGUGGAAUUCCUGGUGUAGCGGUGAAAUGCGUAGAUAUCAGGAGGAACACCCGUGGCGAAGGCGGCUUCCUGGCCAUAUCCUGACGCUGAGGUGCGAAAGCUAGGGGAGCGAACGGGAUUAGAUACCCCGGUAGUCCUAGCCGUAAACGAUGGAUACUAGGUGUUAGUGGUAUCGACCCCACUAGUGCCGCAGCUAACGCAAUAAGUAUCCCGCCUGGGGAGUACGGCCGCAAGGUUGAAACUUAAAGGAAUUGGCGGGGGA